AGGAGAGUGACUUACCAUUUCACAGGUUUCCUCUAAAGCACCCAGAGCUACUAAAGACGUGGAUUACUUCCGUGAAGCAGAAAGAUUUUAAUCCUACGUCUUGCAGUUUUCUUUGCGGAAACCGUUUGCGACAAGAUGAUUACGGAGUGAGCCCUGGAACGUGGAAGAAACGUUUCAAACCCGAAACAGUGCCAUCAGUUUCCGACACAUUUGAUGCACCAAAUAAACAGCCACGACGACAAGUUGUUAGGAUUUUGAGUGACAACGAUGAUUCUACAUUUGAGCGUUCUGUCAUGGAAUCCGUGCUCGAUUUGCCCAUUGCAG